rnacentral:rRNA from 1 species
AUUGAACGCUGGCGGCAGGCCUAACACAUGCAAGUCGAACGAGUGGCGGACGGGUGAGUAAUGUCUGGGAAACUGCCUGAUGGAUGGGGAUAACUACUGGAAACGGUAGCUAAUACCGCAUACCAUCGGAUGUGCCCAGAUGGGAUUAGCUAGUAGGUGGGGUAACGGCUCACCUAGGCGGCGAUCCCUAGCUGGUCUGAGAGGAUGACCAGCCACACUGGAACUGAGACACGGUCCAGACUCCUACGGGAGGCAGCAGGGGGGAAGAUUGCACAAUGGGCGCAAGCCUGAUGCAGCCAUGCCGCGUGUAUGAAGAAGGCCUUCGGGUUGUAAAGUACUGUCAGCGGGGAGGCGUUACCCGCAGAAGAAGCACCGGCUAACUCCGUGCCAGCAGCCGCGGUAAUUC